rnacentral:rRNA from 1 species
CCUACGGGAGGCAGCAGUGGGGAAUAUUGGACAAUGGGCGCAAGCCUGAUCCAGCCAUGCCGCGUGGGUGAAGAAGGCCUUCGGGUUGUAAAGCCCUUUUGUCCGGAAAGAAAAGCUUCGGGUUAAUACCCCGGGGUCAUGACGGUACCGGAAGAAUAAGCACCGGCUAACUUCGUGCCAGCAGCCGCGGUAAUACGAAGGGUGCAAGCGUUACUCGGAAUUACUGGGCGUAAAGCGUGCGUAGGUGGUUCGUUAAGUCUGAUGUGAAAGCCCUGGGCUCAACCUGGGAAUUGCAUUGGAUACUGGCGAGCUAGAGUGCGGUAGAGGAUAGUGGAAUUCCCGGUGUAGCAGUGAAAUGCGUAGAGAUCGGGAGGAACAUCUGUGGCGAAGGCGACUAUCUGGGCCAGCACUGACACUGAGGCACGAAAGCGUGGGGAGCAAACAGGAUUAGAUACCCUGGUAGUCCACGCCCUAAACGAUGCGAACUGGAUGUUGGGUGCAACUAGGCACUCAGUAUCGAAGCUAACGCGUUAAGUUCGCCGCCUGGGGAGUACGGUGCAAGACUUGAAACUUCAAAGGAAUUGACGGCNGAGAGNGCGACGGACGACGACGAGGGAGGAGG